AUUGAACGCUGGCGGCAUGCCUUACACAUGCAAGUCGAACGGCAGCAUGAUCUAGCUUGCUAGAUUGAUGGCGAGUGGCGAACGGGUGAGUAAUACAUCGGAACGUGCCCUGUCGUGGGGGAUAACUAGUCGAAAGAUUAGCUAAUACCGCAUACGACCUGAGGGUGAAAGUGGGGGACCGCAAGGCCUCAUGCUAUAGGAGCGGCCGAUGUCUGAUUAGCUAGUUGGUGGGGUAAAGGCCCACCAAGGCGACGAUCAGUAGCUGGUCUGAGAGGACGAUCAGCCACACUGGGACUGAGACACGGCCCAGACUCCUACGGGAGGCAGCAGUGGGGAAUUUUGGACAAUGGGGGCAACCCUGAUCCAGCAAUGCCGCGUGUGUGAAGAAGGCCUUCGGGUUGUAAAGCACUUUUGUCCGGAAAGAAAUCGCACUUACUAAUAUUAGGUGUGGAUGACGGUACCGGAAGAAUAAGGACCGGCUAACUACGUG
rnacentral:rRNA from 1 species